AGAGUUUGAUCCUGGCUCAGAUUGAACGCUGGCGGAAUGCUUUACACAUGCAAGUCGAACGGGCUUAAAGAGCUUGCUCUUUAAGUUAGUGGCGAACGGGUGAGUAAUAUAUCGGAACGUAUCCAAUAAUGGGGGAUAACUAAGCGAAAGCUUGGCUAAUACCGCAUACGCCCUACGGGGGAAAGCUAGGGAUCUUCGGACCUGGCGUUAAUGGAGCGGCCGAUAUCUGAUUAGCUAGUUGGGUGGGGUAAAGGCCCCACCAAGGCGACGAUCAGUAGCUGGUCCUGAGAGGGACGACCAGCCACCACUGGAACUGAAACACCGGUCCAGAAUCUCUACCGGGAGGGCAGCCGUGGGGGAAUUUUGGACAAUGGGGCGAAAGCCUGAUUCCAGCCAUUUCCCCGUGAGUGUAAGAAAGGCUUCCGGUUGUGAAAGCUCCUUUCCCCAAGGAAAAAAACUUUAUCUCUUACAUAAGACUGGGGGUGACAGGUACCCUUUGUAAGAAAGACCGGGUAAAUACAUGGCCGCAGCCGCGGGAAUACCUAGGGUGGGGAGCGGUAUCCGAAAUACUGGGGCGUAAACGCGCGCGCGCGGUUUUGUAAUCCAUAGAAAAUCCCUGAGCUCACCUUAUGAACUGCGUGUUGAGACUACACGACUCAAUAUGUCUAAGCGGUGGAAGUCUACUCUGUUCACUGAAUGCGUUAGAUGUGUGGAGUAUAAUGGCGAGGAGGCCCCGGCGUAUAUUUAGCUCAUGCCCAAGAAUUGGAACAACAGAUUAAUCCCUUGAUACUCCACGCCAAUAACGAUGUCAUAGUGGUGUGAAGUAAACUCCAUGAUUACCGCAGCUAACGCGUGAUGUAGCCGCUUGCGAUUCCGUCGCAGGAUUAGGACUCAAAUGAAUUGACGGGGCCCCGCAACAGCGUUGAUUUAUGUGGAUUAUUCGAUGCAACCGCGAAAACCUUACCUUGCCUUGACAUGUAACGAACCUUUCCAGAGAUGGAAUUGUUGCUCGAAAGAGACUGUUUAACACAGGUGCUGCAUGGCUGUCGUCAGCUCGUUGUCGUGAGAUGUUGGUUUAAGUCCCGCAACGAGCGCAACCCUUGCCAUUAAUUGCCAUCAUUUAGUUGGGCACUUUAAUGGGACUGCCGGUGACAAACCCGGAGGAAGGUGGGGAUGACGUCAAGUCCUCAUGGCCCUUAUGGCCAGGGCUUCACACGUAAUACAAUGGUCGGUACAGAGGGUUGCCAACCCGCGAGGGGGAGCCAAUCCCAGAAAGCCGAUCGUAGUCCGGAUUGUAGUCUGCAACUCGACUACAUGAAGUCGGAAUCGCUAGUAAUCGCGGAUCAGCAUGUCGCGGUGAAUACGUUCCCGGGCCUUGUACACACCGCCCGUCACACCAUGGGAGUGGGUUUUACCAGAAGUAGGUAGUCUAACCUUCGGGGGGACGCUUACCACGGUAGUAUUCAUGACUGGGGUGAAGUCGUAACAAGGUAACC
rnacentral:rRNA from 1 species